CAUGCUGUGCAUAGCCACCACAUGCCAUGGGCACCGUUGUCGUUCUGCACAAAGGAGGAGCAGCUCAGCAAGCUUGGCCUGGGCCGUGGGAGGGAGCAUGCAGACAUCUGGACCAACCGGCAAUGAGUUAGUUCUUGAGUGGUCUGUGGGGCCAGGAGAGGGGGGAAAUGGCCCUAAACUGGAGUACAGGAAGUUCUGCACCGACGUGAGAAGGAACUUGUUCACAGCGAGGUGACGGAGCACUGGUACAGGCUGCCCAGGGAGGCUGUGGAUUCUCCUUCCCUGGAGAUACUCCAGACCCAGCUGGAUGCCCACCUGUGCAGCCUGCUGUACGGAACCUGUUGAGCAGAGGGGGGAGUUGGACUCGAUGAUCUCUAGGGAUCCCUUCCGGCCCCUACAGUUCUGUGAUUCUGUGAUUGUAAUCGUUGCUUCUUGCAGCAGUAGAGUGUUUCAGAAGAGAGAAAAUCAUGGCGGCCAUGAGCUGGCUUUCUGUGGUUGGUAAAGCUGUGCUGAGAUCUGGGCUGACUAUUGCAGCUGAAAAUGCGUGCCAAGUCUGCAGACACAGAGGAAUAACUUUUCCAUGUAGGUUGAGCUUGUCUAAGCUUUUGUGGUACAAAGAAGCACGGCAAGGUGAUGGAACAGCUUGUCCUAGAUGCCAUGGCCAAGCAGUUGGAGAAGAAGAAGAUCAUCAGGAAUAGUCAGCAUGGAUUUAGCAAGGGGAAAGUGUGCUUGAGCAACCUCCUAGGCUUCUGUGAGGCAUCAGCAGCUAUAUGGAUGGCGGGAGAGCAAUGGAUGUAGUCUACGUUGACUUCAGCACUGCUUUUGAUGCAGUCUCCCACGACAUCCUGGUAAUGAAGCUGAGCAAGUGUGGGAUAGAUGAGUGGACGGUGAGGUGGGCUGCGAGCUGGCUGAGUGGCCGAGCUCAGAGGGUGGUGAUGGGCGGUGCAGAGUGCGGUUGGAGAGCUGUGAGUGGCGGUGAACGCUAGGGGUGGGUGCUGGCUCUGGUCUCGUUCAAUAUCUUGGUCAACAGCCUUGAGGAGGGGAUAGUGUCCACCCUCAGUAAGUAUGCCUCUGAGACAAAGCUGGGAGGAGCAGCUGGCACGCCGGAAGGCUGUGCUGCCGUUCAGCAAGAGCUGGACAGGCUGGAGAGCCAGGCAGUAGCAAAGCAGGUGAGGUGUAACAAGAGCAAGUGUAGAGUCUUGCACCUGGGAAGGAAUAACCGCAAGUAUCAGUAGAGGCUGGGACGUGAGCUGCUGGAGAGGAGCUCUGCAGAGAAGGACCUGGGGGUCCUGGUGGGUGACAGGUUGGCCAUGAGCCAGCAGUGUGCCCUGGUGGCCAAGAAGGCCGGUGGGAUGGUGGGACGCAUGAAAAGGAGCGUGGCCAG